rnacentral:rRNA from 1 species
CCUACGGGCGGCUGCAGUGGGGAAUAUUGGACAAUGGGGGCAACCCUGAUCCAGCCAUGCCGCGUGUGUGAAGAAGGCCCUCGGGUUGUAAAGCACUUUCAGUGAGGAAGAACGCCUGGUGGUUAAUACCCAUCAGGAAAGACAUCACUCACAGAAGAAGCACCGGCUAACUCCGUGCCAGCAGCCGCGGUAAUACGGAGGGUGCGAGCGUUAAUCGGAAUUACUGGGCGUAAAGCGCGCGUAGGUGGCUUGAUAAGCCGGUUGUGAAAGCCCCGGGCUCAACCUGGGAACGGCAUCCGGAACUGUCAAGCUAGAGUGCAGGAGAGGAAGGUAGAAUUCCCGGUGUAGCGGUGAAAUGCGUAGAGAUCGGGAGGAAUACCAGUGGCGAAGGCGGCCUUCUGGACUGAAACUGACACUGAGGUGCGAAAGCGUGGGUAGCAAACAGGAUUAGAUACCCUAGUAGUC